rnacentral:rRNA from 1 species
CAGCCAUGCCGCGUGCAGUGAAGAAGGCCUUCGGGUUGGAAAGCUGUUUUUGCCGGGAGAAAAAAAGUCCCUGCAAUACAAAAUUGAAGGUGCCUGGUGAAUAAGCCACGGCUAAGUACAUGCCCGCGGCCGCGGCCAUACGUAUGUGGCAGGCGUUGUCCGGAUUUAUUGUGUUUGAAGGGUGCGUAGGCGGUCCCUUAAGUCUAAGGUGAAAUACAGCACCUUAACUGUCAAGGUGCCAUUGAUACUGAAGGACUUGAGUUCAGAUGAGGUAGGCGGAAUUGACAGUGUAGCGGUGAAAUGCUUAUAUAUCGACAAGAACACCAAUAGCGAAGGCGACUUACUACACCGUAACUGACGCUGACGCACAAAAGUGUGGGGUCGAACACGAUUAGAUACCAGGUCGU